CAACCCAAACGGCACGCCCAAACCCAAAGCCAAGUCGCACUCCUCCUCCUAUCCUCUUCCUCGCCGAGGCGGCGACCGGCCAGCGCCGCAGCAGCAACCCCGGCCGCCGCCAGCUCCACCUCCACCGCCCGCGCGUCUCCGAUUCGGCGAAUUUGGGGCUGAGGAAAGAGGAGGAGCGACUUCUCUCUGCUCUGGUGGUUGCAACUUCAGGACAAGAUGCACUUCCUUGCAUCAUUUCACGGCCCUGCAGGUUUUGAGCUUUUGUCUGUUUCCCUGGGAUGGAUGCCAAGAAGUUCCUGCAGAUGGUCGAAGACAAGAAGAAGAGACUCCUUGAGAAGAAGGAAGCCCCACUGAAAUGGCAGCAGAAACUGGAAGCGGCAAUUAAGGCCACUGAAGAGAAGGAGAAGAAGCUCAAGUCAAAAAAGCACAGGAGGCGAAGCUAUUCUUCCUCAGAGUCUGACAGUGAAUCCGAGAGCGACAGUGAUCGGAAACACAGGAAGAGGAAGGACCGCAAAAGGCACAGGAAACAUGGCCACUCUGACUCUGAUGGUGCCAGGAGGCGCAAGCACAGGUCAAAGAGGAGGAGCUUGGACUCUAGUGAUGAGAGCGACAGUGAUGAAUAUGAUAGCGAAUCUGAAGAAGAGCGCCCAAGGAAGAAGCACUCGCACAGGAGGAAGCAUCACCGACACUCUCCAAGGUCAGAGUCUGAUGCUUCAGAUUACAGCAGCGAUGAUGAUGAGCGGAGAUCAACCAGGAAGGACCACACAAGGAGCCGCAGGCGUCGCCACCGAUCAUUAGACGAUGAAUCUGAGGACAAGAUCAGGUCGAGGCAUAGGAAGCGUCACAGAUCAAGUGACGAGGACAAGCCAUCAGAUUCUGACAUCCAUAAGCGUCACAGGAGCCGCUCUAUGUCCUUGGAUGAUGGUGCUGCUGGUGAGCCAGACAAGAUGAAUGAUGGUAAGGGGUCUCACAAAAGCCGGCACCACCGCCGCCAUCACCAUCACCAUCAUGAUCACCAUGGCAACUCUGCUGAACCCAGUGACGGGAAGCAACUCGUGUAAGUUGUUAAUGCCUCAGAACCUGAUUGGCGUCAUCACUGGGCUCUGUGACGGGAAGGUUUGCCCCAGUUGGCUAGUUGCUGAAUGAAAGCAUGUAUCUUUCAUAAUGUUACUGUCUCGGCUCUGCUGCGACUUCUGAAGCCUGUACUUGUUGUACUGAAAAAUUUGGCGACACCAGAUGUUAUUUCCAGCAUUUCCUCUGUUGAGACAUGGCUUGGUUGCUGAUUUGGUGGUUAAACAUGCCUGUUUCAUUUGCUGCAAGUUCACUUGUGCAUUUUCGUUUAUUCAGCCAUACUACGUUUGGAUCAUAUGUUGCUAAGUCCACAUUUUUUGCGGCGUACUUGCCAUGCGUACACAUUUUUUGUGGGAUACAAGCAUUCUGUGGCGGUGCAGCAGAAAAGUACGAAACACUGUUUGGGUUGGGGC
rnacentral:rRNA from 1 species